UUUAAUUUCCAGUUCCGCCUUGGGACGAGGCCCUGGCUGGGGGAACCGCAUCAGGCCUGACACCCAUCCCAUUCCCCCCUAAACCCAGAACGACAUCCAACCUCAUUCCGCAGCCCCUUCCCGACCUCGCCGCUCAGGCUAUGAUGGAAAGGUCCCUGGGAGUGGGGAGGAGGGCGAAUUUAAACCCAGAGAGAGAUCCUGUAGCCCAGUUCUCCUCGGUUCCCUAAACCUCCAGGAAAGCGGAGAAAGUCACAUUGUGGUGGCAGCUGCAGGUUUUUUUUUUUUAAUCUGUUAAUAAAACGCAAGUGAAUCAAAUCCGCCCUAAGGGAAGGGGGGGGGGCGCGGCGAGGCAGGGGCCAUGGUGUUUGCAGAAGUUGGAAAUUUAAUAAGAAGGAAAAAUAAAAAUAGCCACUGUGCUGGAGAGAGAGAGAGAGAAGGUUGGGAGAAGCAGCGCCCCUCACCUUCUGAGCUACUCAAGAGAUGGGGGACAGGAGCAGUACUGCCAAGAACAGUUGUGCAAGUUGCACACUGCACAAGCAUACCAGACAGAAGCUAGAGCAGAAGCUGACGUCGUCUGUUCCCCUCACCACACAUUGCAUCUGCCCAGAGGAAGAGGUGCCGUGCUGGGCAGUGAAUGAAUGAACCUUGCCCUGGGUUUAACACUCCAGUGGGAUGAACAGACAAACCCCACAAGCACUGCAUACGAGAUGGCUGUGUGACACUCUUC
rnacentral:lncRNA from 10 species